rnacentral:rRNA from 1 species
GAUGAACGCUAGCGGCGUGCCUAAUACAUGCAAGUCGAGCGAACGGACGAGAAGCUUGCUUCUCUGAUGUUAGCGGCGGACGGGUGAGUAACACGUGGAUAACCUACCUAUAAGACUGGGAUAACUUCGGGAAACCGGAGCUAAUACCGGAUAAUAUUUUGAACCGCAUGGUUCAAAAGUGAAAGACGGUCUUGCUGUCACUUAUAGAUGGAUCCGCGCUGCAUUAGCUAGUUGGUAAGGUAACGGCUUACCAAGGCAACGAUGCAUAGCCGACCUGAGAGGGUGAUCGGCCACACUGGAACUGAGACACGGUCCAGACUCCUACGGGAGGCAGCAGUAGGGAAUCCUCCGCAAUGGGCGAAAGCCUGACGGAGCAACGCCGCGUGAGUGAUGAAGGUCUUCGGAUCGUAAAACUCUGUUAUUAGGGAAGAACAUAUGUGUAAGUAACUGUGCACAUCUUGACGGUACCUAAUCAGAAAGCCACGGCUAACUACGUG